CUGUUUUCAAUUUGAAAGGGAGCCAAUGCCUCCGCACUCUGGGUGGGGUUAGCAGAGAGUUGACUGACCAUGAGUCAGAGAGAUUAGUAGGUGAGGGUGCUCUCCUUGGCUCCGGAACUCCGAGACGGGUUGACAAAGCUGCUGUGCUCCAAGGGGCAGGCACAUCCCCCUGAAGGUAAAUGCUUCUGUUUGGAGGAUGAUGCUGUGAUGGACCCUGAUGAGGAAGCCACUCUGAGAUCUGGGGCUGUGACUGUCUCUGUUGGAGAAAGAUGCUUUUUGGACUGCCUAGAGCAGCAGGAGCCCAAUGAGAAGGUCCAAUUGCGUCCACCCCGAGGUGCCAGAGAAGCCUGGUAUGGAAACCACAAACUUCCUGACUUCGAAGGCUAGGCUGGAGCCCAAGAAGGCUUUGCAGACCCCUGGGUGUGCCCAGUGUGUGAGCCAAGUGUUGUCUGGCAGUGAGGCCAACAGCUCAGCUCUGCCCAUGUUUCAGCUGCCUGGAAUGGGAGCCAGCCAAGCAGGACCAGUGCUGCUCCAAGGCAGAAGGCCAGGUGUGCUGUCUCUGGGCAGGCAGGAUGAACAGCCAUGCCUGAUGUCACCCAGGCCCAGGAACCACCCUGGAUGGUGGGUACGUAUGCUGGCCCGCUCUGCUUUGGGUUCUUAUUCCCUCUUUGAAUGUGUUUCUUGAAAAACAAACUCUUUUAGGUGAAGAAACAGUUUAUGGUUUUUAGUAAUGAUUUGAAACAAAGCGAAUAUUGGUAACAUGCUCUGCAGACAGUUAUAUAAAGCUGUGAAGGAACUUCAGAGAAUUUACUAUAACUGUAGUACUAUUUAUCAUUCUGUACAAAGUAGCCACCUUUGGGAUUCAUUUCUUUGAGUGGUAUCAAUUCCCCAAAGAGAUCAGCAUUAAAAAAGUGAUUAAAAUUUUUUG